CUCAUUAUUUAUUUUUUCUAAAAAAAAGAGAACUUAUUGCUUUUUACAUUAAGAAAUGUUCACCUAUAUUAGAAUUCCUACUCCUUAAGCAGUAUCUGGCUAGCAAAUGUGGUGGGAGAAUAGAUUCACAGACAUGGUAAUUAACGGUAGUAGACCUUGACUCAGUGAAGGUACAGAAUUCUGUAAAACUUGAAGGAGAUUCUCCUUGAGAGGACCAGCUGGUGAUUAAGAAAAUACACUAAAACUAUAACAAGAGGCUCUAAAAAAGUUAAUUGCAUUUACAUGAAACCAAGUGAAAAACAGAAUAGGACAUCUAUCAUUAUGAAUAAACUCAACAUGUAGCGAUACAAUUGUAUAUGCCUGCAACAUUUUAAAUCAAGCUUCAUUUAUUACCACAAAAGCCAACCAUCACUUGCAAGCACAUGCCUUAUGAUUGGAACAAACAUAUGGAGAAACACUACCACCUCGCCUAACAUCUAUGGUGGUUGGAUGUGCUUCAGUAUCUCUGCCUGGAUUAACAAUAGUCCAGUACUAUACAUCUCUUGACAGAUAAAUAUUCUUUACAUGGGACGGUUGAUGCAUUGCUGGUAACUAAUCAGACAUGUCUUCCUCCCCGCUGAACUGAUCCAUGUCAUCCAAUCGUGCAAGUUUAUGCUGUCUUUCAAAGUCAUCAUCCCUUGAAAACCUUCCCCCCUUUAAACUCAUAAUAUCUAUCUGAUCCUGAAAAAUGUCAAGAGACAUAUUGAGAACACAUGGAGAUAAUUCUAAUAUAAAUCAUCAAAAUGAAUAUAU
rnacentral:lncRNA from 1 species